rnacentral:piRNA from 1 species
UGCCAGGAAACCUCCCUAGUCAUCAG